UACGAAGGGGGCUAGCGUUGCUCGGAAUCACUGGGCGUAAAGCGCACGUAGGCGGCUUGUUAAGUCAGGGGUGAAAUCCUGGAGCUCAACUCCAGAACUGCCUUUGAUACUGACGAGCUUGAGUUCGGGAGAGGUGAGUGGAACUGCGAGUGUAGAGGUGAAAUUCGUAGAUAUUCGCAAGAACACCAGUGGCGAAGGCGGCUCACUGGCCCGAUACUGACGCUGAGGUGCGAAAGCGUGGGGAGCAAACAGG
rnacentral:rRNA from 1 species